GAGUUCCGGCGGGCCCAGGUCCCCUCUCCUCCUGCAGCCCUGGGCCCGGGCUCCGCUGCGUCUGGCGCUGCAAGACCUGCGCGCCGAGAUCCCGGGGCGAGGGACCCUGGGCGGCGCGAUCUGCACAGCGCCGAGCCUGCAUCGCGCCCCCGCCAGGACCAGAGCCGCGCCGCGGUGGAGUCCUGAGCGCCCCCGAGCGGUCACGUGUGCGGCGGCGACCCAAGAAUUUGAAAGAGUCGCGGAAAACUGCACUCAUCAUAGAGCAUCUGAAGGUUCCUAGAGGGAGCUGUGAACGGUUAACAAAAAACACGGCCAUGGGGUCCCCUGGUGGCGUUUUGAAGGGCGACCCCUCCCCUACCCCAGCGCGGCCUGUGGCUCUUUGUUUACAAUUUCAUAAA
rnacentral:lncRNA from 1 species